UGGGGAAUAUUGGACAAUGGGGGGAACCCUGAUCCAGCCAUGCCGCGUGUGUGAAGAAGGCCUUAUGGUUGUAAAGCACUUUAAGCGAGGAGGAGGCUACUGAGACUAAUACUCUUGGAUAGUGGACGUUACUCGCAGAAUAAGCACCGGCUAACUCUGUGCCAGCAGCCGCGGUAAUACAGAGGGUGCGAGCGUUAAUCGGAUUUACUGGGCGUAAAGCGUGCGUAGGCGGCUUUUUAAGUCGGAUGUGAAAUCCCCGAGNUUAACUUGGGAAUUGCAUUCGAUACUGGGAAGCUAGAGUAUGGGAGAGGAUGGUAGAAUUCCAGGUGUAGCGGUGAAAUGCGUAGAGAUCUGGAGGAAUACCGAUGGCGAAGGCAGCCAUCUGGCCUAAUACUGACGCUGAGGUACGAAAGCAUGGGGAGCAAACAGGAUUAGAUACCCUGGUAGUCCAUGCCGUAAACGAUGUCUACUAGCCGUUGGGGCCUUUGAGGCUUUAGUGGCGCAGCUAACGCGGUAAGUAGACCGCCUGGGGAGUACGGUCGCAAGACUAAAACUCAAAGGAAUUUGACGGGGGUCAUAGCUGUUUCCUG
rnacentral:rRNA from 1 species